CCGUCCCCCCAACCCCGCCCCUCUCUGAGGUUUCCCUCACCCUGGACGGUGGUGGCGGGGGUUGGCGUUGCAUUGUCUCUGGUUUGAAACUUGUCUGUCUCCACGGAAGCCUCUCUACCUGCUGCCCUUGGGGGCCUCUGCACCAGAGGGGCUUCCUGGAAAAGGUAUGAGAUUCCCAGGUGGCGCAGUGGUAGAGAGCCAGCCUGCCAGUGCAGGAGAUGCAAGAGAUGCAGGUAGCACUUGGUGCCCAGGCAGUAACGCCACAGGCCCUGGUGGGCGAAGGCCCCCGACAGUCGGUACUGCAUCCAGUGGUCUGUCGCCGUGGCCACCACCAGCAGGAUGGUCCCCACCCAGGCACAGAAGAGGCCGCCUCCCAUGAAGCUGUACAUGGUGAUCUGUGGGUGAGGGGAGAAAUGGGGUCACGAGCUGGACUGCCGGGUCCUGGGAGAGAAUCCAGUGCAGGGUCUCACUGAAUCAUCACAUCUCAGUCACCUCUGAUCUGCAGCCAUUUCAGUCUUUCCUUGUUUUUCACAACUUUGACAGCUUGGAGGACUACUAGUGGAUUCUUUACCAGCUGAGCUGUCAGGGAAACCCGGCUUUGGGG